CGUCUCUGUUGAGCCGGGAUUUGGGCCCCUGUCCCCGACGGACCCAUCAAGUGCGAGAUGACUGUGCGCAGGAACUUGAAGCUAAGCCGCAGAGAUAGAUAUUAAAUAAAGGACCCCAAAUCAACAGGCUGGAUCCCAUUGUAAUAAUCAACCUUGAUAGUCUGUAAUUGAUGAUUUGACAUCUUGAAGUCACGCCAAAACUGUUGACGUCCCUACCACCCCUGUGGUUUUACAGCACACAGAAAUCAUAUUACUAACCUUCCAACUACUAAAUAAAGAAGUGGUGGGGAGUUGUCUGGUGGGGAUGUCCCCUCCUUAGCAGGAAGCAAAUACAGAUGUUGGAGUUUGUGUUGGAAGAGCCUCCUGAUGUUCUGGGUUUGUCCAGUUGGCUGAAGAAAUUGCCCACACCUUUGACCUAGAAAAACAAAGAGUCUAGACCAGCACUGUCCAAUAUGGAUGUCACCAGCCACAUGAGGUGUUGGUGAGCCAGUCUCCCGCCCACUCGGAAGGCACAUUCUCGUGGGAAAAAGCACCAUAAUGCGGGAAGCACACAUUACAGCACGUCUGCUCUCACUAAUCCCUGUCAUCUCGCCUGCAUCUCUCCACGUGUACCCGACCCCGUCUAAUCCCUCCAACCCUAGAACACGCUGAGAAACGCUUCCAGUUGGUUUGGAUUUCCGCAGCUCGUUGCACUGGGAAAAUUUACAAUGAGGCGUCCAUUCCCCAGGCAGGAUGGCCACCCCGCGGACACCGACCAGGGCUCCAGUGCUCAGUUCGUCCGCCUUUUCUGAGCAACCCUGGUACGCGGGCCUCUCACUGUUGUGGCCUCUCCCGCCGUGGAGCACAGGCUCCGGACACGCAGGCCCAGCGGCCAUGGCUCACGGGCCCAGCCGCUCCGCGGCAUGUGGGAUCUUCCAGGACCGGGGCACGAACCAGUGUCCCCUGCAUCGGCAGGCGGACUCUAAACCACUGCGCUACCAGGGAAGCCCUAAAAUUAAAAUUUUUAAAAAAAUGAAGGAGGAGAGAGGAAAGGUGAUAAGACUCAGAGACCUCAUUUUCUUUGCCAUUUAGGACAGAAGGAAAAAAAAUCAUCAUUGAUCGUCUCUUCAACUAAAACGCAGGUGACUUUGAAAAAGACUUUUGUUUUUUUAAAGCAAUUUGUGUGGGAGCCAAUGCCAAGGCGUAACUGUUCUGCAAACCCCAGAUAAGGAAUAGAAAGCUGCGGGGCUUCUGCAAAUGACUUUGAAUGCUCCAUUAACAGAGAUAAGUAGCUCCACCCUCAAGAAGAAAAGCCCCGUGGCACAGCUUCCAGAGGCUUGUCUGCAGAAUCCCUGGACUUCACUCAUUUGGAGGAUCCUGAAGGGCGAGCUGGGCUGGGCUGUGGCUCAUGGGUCUGAUAGCAAUCUUAUUUUUAAAAAUCCCUCGAGACAGCCUUUCAUUCUUAGGCAAAAGCUAAGAAACUCUGUCUUAGCAGUUUUUUCUUUUACUGUUGAUUUUUAUCGGCAGUACUUUGGAAGUGUGAAAAUACGCCAUUACCAAAACAGCCCUUGAAAUGUAGCACACAGCUCUGGUUUCCAGUAUGUGGUCCCAAGCCUUGGAUUUAAUUGUGGAGUUAACGUGGGAGAGAAUGACAUUCUGCCAUGUGGCACGUACUGGAAAAAGGCCCCUCUGCUGUGGACAUUAGGAGAUCUCUGCCUAUCAGCUCCAUGGCCUUGGGCCACUUGCUGGCCUUCUUGGAGCUGUUUCUCUGUUUGUAGCCCACCUCUCAAGUGGUGACGAGGGUCAACAAGAUUGCCCGGCAGCGCGCAGGCUCUCCUGGAAAGUGUAGAACAUGGUACAAGGAUAAUUCCCCUCGCUCCUUCUGCCUCUCAGAGGUGCUACACUGUGUCCUCACCGUGUCUGUUAUGCAACCUUCCAUUCACUCCAGCAUCACUACCUCACCUGUGGUCCUUCAGGUUCCUGCAGGUCUCAGCACGAAUUAACUGCAGAUAUGCAUUCUGAGAGCAUGGAAAUACCUCACAAACUACUGUGACCAUCCUGUCACCAAGGGACUCUGAAGCUUAUUGCCGGCGGCUCAUCCACGUGGCUGAAAAGGAGUCUGAAGCAGACGC